rnacentral:rRNA from 1 species
UACGUAGGGGGCUAGCGUUGUCCGGAAUCAUUGGGCGUAAAGAGCGUGUAGGCGGCCCGGUAAGUCCGCUGUGAAAGUCGGGGGCUCAACCCUCGAAAGCCGGUGGAUACUGUCGGGCUAGAGUGCGGAAGAGGCGAGUGGAAUUCCUGGUGUAGCGGUGAAAUGCGCAGAUAUCAGGAGGAACACCGGUGGCGAAGGCGGGUCUCUGGGCCGAUGACUGACGCUGGAGGAGCGAAAGCGUGGGGAGCGAACAGG